GCCGCGGUAGCUCAGUUGGUAGAGCAUCGGACGCUUAAAUCGAACGUCGCAGGUUCGGUCCCUGCCCGCGGCA
rnacentral:tRNA from 1 species